rnacentral:lncRNA from 1 species
GAUAUCAUGACCCAUUAAAAAUAACAACAAGCAGUAAGGCUAAUACUCUGCCACCUCAGCCUUGCAGAUGCUUCUACAAUAUAUGGACACCUACAAAUGAGACCUUCACACCUUACAGCUGCAGUAAACAAGAGAACAUUGAUAAUUGUGACUCCAAAGAUUCUAAUUCUCUCUGGAUAUACUGUGUUAUUUCUAACACAUUGAAGAAAAAGGAGGAGACAAAUAUUUCAUCUUCGCCCUCAUGUGUUAGAAAUUUGAGUAAUGAACCAGGGAUGCAAGAAACAGGAGAAAAAAGCAAG